rnacentral:rRNA from 1 species
AACGAACGCUGGCGGCGCGCUUAACACAUGCAAGUCGAACGCAUGCUUGAUCUUCGGGUUGGGCAUGAGUGGCGGACGGGUGAGUAACGCGUGGGAACCUGCCCUGAGGUUCGGGACAACCGUGGGAAACUGCGGCUAAUACCGGAUAUCUCCUUUGGGAGAAAGACUUGUCGCCUUGGGAGGGCCGCGUCGGAUUAGCUUGUUGGUGGGUAACGGCCUACCAAGGCAUCGAUCCGUAGCUGGUCUGAGAGGAUGAUCAGCCACACUGGGACUGAGACACGGCCCAGACUCCUACGGGAGGCAGCAGUGGGGAAUCUUGGACAAUGGGGGCAACCCUGAUCCAGCGACGCCGCGUGGGUGACGAAGGCCUUCGGUUGUAAGACCUUUCUCGGGAGAUGAUGACGGUACCCGAGGGAAUAAGACACCGGCGUAACU